rnacentral:rRNA from 1 species
AGAGUUUGAUCAUGGCUCAGAACGAACGCUGGCGGCGUGGAUAAGACAUGCAAGUCGGACGGGAGUUUAUUUAUAGCAAUAUGAGUGAACUCUAGUGGCGAAAAGGGUGCGUAACACGUAGCUACCUACCUCGAAGUUGGGGAUAGCUCGGCGAAAGCCGGAUUAAUACCGAAUGUGAUCGUAAGAUCAAAGCUGGGGAUCGUAAGACCUGGCGCUUUGAGAUGGGGCUGCGGCCUAUCAGCUAGUUGGUGAGGUAACGGCUCACCAAGGCGUAGACGGGUAGCUGGUCUGAGAGGACGACCAGCCACACUGGAACUGAGACACGGUCCAGACACCUACGGGUGGCAGCAGUCGAGGAUUUUUCUCAAUGGGGGAAACCCUGAAGGAGCGACGCCGCGUGAGGGAUGAAGGUCUUCGGAUUGUAAACCUCUGUCAUCUGGGAACAAUGUGAUCUACCUAACACGUGGAUUAUUGAUAGUACCGGAAGAGGAAGCAGUGGCUAACUCUGUGCCAGCAGCCGCGGUAAUACAGAGACUGCAAGCGUUGUUCGGAUUCAUUGGGCGUAAAGGGCGCGUAGGCGGUCGGUUAAGUCGGAUGUGAAAGCUCACAGCCCAACUGUGAUAGGUCAUUCGAAACUAGCCGGCUCGAGGAAUGGAGAGGAGACUGGAAUGGUCGGUGUAGCGGUGAAAUGCGUAGAGAUCGACCAGAACACCGGUGGCGAAGGCGGGUCUCUGGACAUUUCCUGACGCUGAGGCGCGAAAGCCAGGGGAGCAAACGGGAUUAGAUACCCUAGUAGUCC